AAAACAAUGACCCCAAGCAUUACUCAUUUGUGAAACCUCGCAAAGUAGUAGGUCUUGCUAUUCACGAUGACGAUUCAAAUGAUUCCCUUUCAGAGCAUGAAUCUGGUGGCCAGAAAUGACUUUGCACAUUUUCAUCCACCUUUGAUGACUGUUCCUUGUUCUUCAAUGAACAUGGAAGAAGGGAAUAUGUUCUGAGUGGA
rnacentral:snoRNA from 1 species